rnacentral:rRNA from 1 species
UACGAAGGGUGCAAGCGUUACUCGGAAUUACUGGGCGUAAAGCGUGCGUAGGCGGUGAGUUAAGUCUGAUGUGAAAUCCCCGGGCUCAACCUGGGAAUGGCAUUGGAUACUGGCUCGCUAGAGUACGGUAGAGGGUGGUGGAAUUCCCGGUGUAGCAGUGAAAUGCGUAGAGAUCGGGAGGAACAUCUGUGGCGAAGGCGGCCACCUGGACCAGUACUGACGCUGAGGCGCGAAAGCUCGGGGAGCGAACGGGG